rnacentral:rRNA from 1 species
AUUGAACGCUGGCGGCGGGCUUAACACAUGCAAGUCGAGCGAGCGGCGGACGGGUGAGUAAUGUCUGGGAAACUGCCUGAUGGAGGGGGAUAACUACUGGAAACGGUAGAUAAUACCGCAUAACGUCGGAUGUGCCCAGAUGGGAUUAGCUAGGAGGUGGUGUAGUGGCGCACCUAGGCGACGAUCCCUGGCUGGUCUGAGGGGAGUACCAGCCAGCCUGGAACUGAGACAAGGGCCAGACUCCUCCGGUAGGCAGCAGUGGGGAAUAUUGCACAAUUGGCGCAAUCCUGAUGCAGCCAUGCCGCGUGUGUGAAGAAGGCCUUCGGGUUGUAAAGCACUUUCAGCGAGGAGGCGUUACUCGCAGAAGAAGCACCGGCUAACUCCGUGCCAGCAGCCGCGGUAAUAC